rnacentral:rRNA from 1 species
AUUGAACGCUGGCGGCACGCUUUACACAUGCAAGUCGAACGGUAACAGGUUAAGCUGACGAGUGGCGAACGGGUGAGUAAUGCAUCGGAACGUGCCCGAUCGUGGGGGAUAACGCAGCGAAAGCUGCGCUAAUACCGCAUACGAUCUGAGGAUGAAAGCGGGGGACCGUAAGGCCUCGCGCGAUCGGAGCGGCCGAUGUCAGAUUAGGUAGUUGGUGGGGCAAAGGCCCUCCAAGCCGACGAUCUGUAGCUGGUCUGAGAGGACGACCAGCCACACUGGGACUGAGACACGGCCCAGACUCCUACGGGAGGCAGCAGUGGGGAAUUUUGGACAAUGGGCGAAAGCCUGAUCCAGCAAUGCCGCGUGCAGGAAGAAGGCCUUCGGGUUGUAAACUGCUUUUGUACGGAGCGAAAAGGUCCUUUCUAAUACAAGGGGCUCAUGACGGUACCGUAAGAAUAAGCACCGGCUAACUACGUGCCAGCCGCCGCCGUAA